rnacentral:lncRNA from 1 species
AUGGAGACAGUGACUGCCUGGAGGAGGAACAGGUUGUCACGGCCUCAUUCCUGGUCACAUGUAGACAAGUUGAGGGUGGCAACAGGAUGUUGGAAGGCAGAGACCCACUUUUUCAUUGCGGAGGUGAAAUUCAGGCCCUGGAAAGUCGCUGAGGCAAUUACACAGGGGUCCCAACGCCAGGCUGUGAGGGGCCCCUGGUCACAUCCUGACUCUAAGCCUCCCAUUUGCUUUCCCACAGCCUCUCCACAUGACUGCUGCCCUCAGACACCAGAAGAGUACAUGGCGGAUAAUGAAGAUUCAGAGACAGUGAGCAAGAAUACUGAGGCUCUGAUCUGAAUCCCUGAAGACCUGGACCUGGACCCCAUCCUGGACCCCAGAGGCGGUGGAGCCCACACAGCACCAGGAGCCUCAUCUGGACCAGAUCAGGAGAGGCCUCACUGCUGCUCUCCUGAGGGCCUCGUGUAGUACAGCUUCAGUUGUUUUGUUGUGUAGACUUAGUAUUAGUUUAAUCCACAGUUUUAUCUAUAAUUUCUGUAUGUAUCUGUAUGUUCAAUGUUUAUAGGUAAGGUUUUUCAUUAAAUUUUUAAAACCUAUUUGUUAUUUUUACAAAAUGUUUGUUUGUAAAGCACACAUGUAUAGACUGGCACCCUCAGCAGAGGCAGAACUUAAUGAAUUGUUGUGAGCCAGCAACCCUGGCCUCUGCUACCAGGGUCACGCCCCCUUUCAUUCAACUCAGUCUCAUUGAGAAAGGAACUGCAGAUUUCAUCCUUCCAUCUGUCCAGGGUCACCAGCUUUCUCUGCUUCCUUUAAAUAGUUCCCCUGGCUUGAUUUACUGAAGUGCUUCUGGACUGCUCUUUUCAUUAUUCUGAACAAACUGUCAACAAGAUAGCUGUGCACAUUCCUGGCAGAGGUCUGACUCUCUGGAUUCUGAAAGCAUCAGAAUCUAAUUCAAGAUGCACACGUAGGGUCUCUGUACCAGGGAACCCAUUAAAAGUGUGUUUUGAAACAGAUAGAGCCACAGCGUCAGGCCCUGGCUGAGAUUCAAAGACUACCGGCCAGUCAUCUCCCCUGGGGCCUUGAGAGAACCCUGCUCGUCUGAUGUUGCAAAGGAGGCUGCAGAGACCCACGCUGAGCAGAGCCUGGGGCAGACUCAGGGCUCCUACAGCCUCAGUCAGGGGCCUUUCCGACUUGAUGUUGAUCCCAUGCAGCUGCUCACUACCCAUCCUUUACUUUGUACUUUUUAAAUUAAUUUUUGUUGCAAAAUAGUUACUUUAUAGAGCUGUGUUAGUUUCUACUGUACACAAGAAUGAAUCAGCCAUAUAUGUAUGUGUGGGUAUAUAUAUGUGUGUGUGUAUAUAUAUGUGUGUGUGUGUAUGUGUGUGUAUAUAUAUGUGUGUGUGUGUAUAUAUAUAUAUGUGUGUGUUAGCAAAUCUCAGUGAGUUUAGCUCAUAGUGUGACUGGGCAAGUGAAUCUCAUUAAUCUCUGUUCCUCACUAUUCAACCUAAUGCCAUAUAUGUGUGUGUGUGUGUGUGUGUGCGUGUGUAUAUAUAUAUCUGUGUGUAUAUAUAUAUAUGUCUGUGUGUGUAUAUAUAUAUGUGUGUAUAUAUAUAUAUGUGUGUGUGUGUAUAUAUAUCUGUGUAUAUAUAAAUGUGUGUAUAUGUGUGCGUGUGUGUAUAUAAAUGUGUGUGUGUAUAUAUGUGUGUGUAUAUGUGUGUGUAUAUAUCUGUGUGUGUAUAUAUAUAUGUACAUACAUGAUGUAUGUGUAUAUACACACACAGACACACACACACACACACACACACGUUCAUAGGACGCUGUAUUGAAAUAAACCCAGCUUUACUUAGUUUGCAAUGGAACAUUAUCUCAAAUUUGGCCACAAGAUGUUGAUAUCACAAAACAGGUUCAAAGAAAUAAACUUCUAUUGCAAAGUGCUUGUGUUUCUUUCCAACUUAGGUCUUUAAAUGUAACUAUUCUUGUCAAUCAGUGACUUCUCUUAAAUGAUGUUGUAUUUCUUGAUCUGUUCCACAUCUGUAUAUUUUGGGGGGUUUUGCCCCUCAUAUCUACUACCUCAGAGAAUAUCAAUUAAGUCUAUUGUAUUGAAACCCAUAUGCAAUAAUAGCAAAAUAAGAUUUCAAAACUAGGAAACAAUACACUGCUAUUUGUAUUCAUUAUUGUUGUUGACUUGUUUCUUGUUAUUUAAUAGCGAAGAGAUGUCCUGCUCCUGGAUCAGUGUCAAACAAUGACAAACAGAGCAAGCACUUGGGAACAUAAUAAACUCAGUAAGAAGCUGAAAGGAUAUUUUUGUUCAUUGGGUCAGGUCCUUCUCUUUGCUUACCAUCUGGAUCUCCAUGUGUUGAGAGGUUUGCCUAACCAGCUGAGGCAACAAACAAUGAAGGAACUUCUCCAAGAUACACAGAAAUUGAGAGAAAUUC